rnacentral:rRNA from 1 species
GACAUAGGUCGCAAACGUUAUCCGGAAUUAUUGGGCGUAAAGAGCUCGUAGGCGGUUUGUCGCGUCUGCCGUGAAAGUCCGGGGCUCAACUCCGGAUCUGCGGUGGGUACGGGCAGACUAGAGUGAUGUAGGGGAGACUGGAAUUCCUGGUGUAGCGGUGAAAUGCGCAGAUAUCAGGAGGAACACCGAUGGCGAAGGCAGGUCUCUGGGCAUUAACUGACGCUGAGGAGCGAAAGCAUGGGGAGCGAACAGG